rnacentral:rRNA from 1 species
ACCUCAAGUCAAGUAAGAAUACCCGCUGAACUUAAGCAUAUCAAUAAGCGGAGGAAAAGAAACUAACAAGGAUUCCCCUAGUAACGGCGAGUGAAGCGGGAAGAGCUCAAAUUUUAAAUCUCCGAGGUUUCCUUGGCGAGUUGUAAUUUGAAGAGAGUGUUUUGACAUUCGGGUUUAAUCCAAAUCCUUUGGGAUAAGGUAUCAUAGAGGGUGAGAAUCCCGUUUAUGAUUGAAUCUCGUGUGUCGCUUAAUUCACUUUCCAAGAGUCGAGUUGUUUGGGAUUGCAGCUCAAAACGGGUGGUAAAUUUCACCUAAGGCUAAAUAUGUGCAAGAGACCGAUAGCGAACAAGUACCGUGAGGGAAAGAUGAAAAGAACUUUGAAAAGAGAGUUAAAUAGUACGUGAAAUUGUUAAAAGGGAAACGAUUGAAGUCAGUCAUGCUAGUGAGGAAUCAACCUGAUGGUGUGUGGGUUCUCCCUCGUACUUUCAGGUGCACUUUCUCACCCGGCAGGUUAGCAUCAAUUUCGGUUAUCAUAAAAAAUUUGAGAGAAUGUGGCUUUUCUUCGGAAAAGUGUUAUAGAUCUCGAUCUAUGUGGUGACCGGGAUUGAGGAUUGCAGCGGAUACCCUCGUGGCUCGUCACCUGGCUUCUGACGGUUACCCCGCCUUCGAUAGCUCGCUAACAUCGGUGGGACUCGAUUGUCUAGAUGUCAGAGUGAUUGAUUUUCGCUAAGGAUGCUGACGUAAUGGCUUUAAACGACCCGUCUUGAAACACGGACCAAGGAGUCUAACAUGUGUGCGAGUGUUUGGGUGUUGAAACCCGGAACGCGUAAUGAAAGUAAUAUUGGUGGGAACCCCUUCGGGGUGCACCAUCGACCGAUCAGGAUAUUUUUUGAUAGAUUUGAGUACGAGCACAUCUGUUGGGACCCGAAAGAUGGUGAACUAUGCCUGAAUAGGGUGAAGCCAGAGGAAACUCUGGU